rnacentral:rRNA from 1 species
UACGGAGGGUGCGAGCGUUGUCCGGAAUCACUGGGCGUAAAGGGCGCGUAGGUGGCGCCGCAAGUCAACGGUGAAAGCUCGACGCUUAACGUCGAGUCGGCCGUCGAGACUGCGGGGCUCGAGCACUGUAGAGGCUCAUGGAAUUCCGGGUGUAGCGGUGGAAUGCGUAGAGAUCCGGAAGAACACCGGUGGCGAAGGCGGUGAGCUGGGCAGUAACUGACGCUGAGGAGCGAAAGCGUGGGGAGCGAACAGG